CCUGUGAGUUCUUUUAGGUCCUGAGUUUCUCUCUCCUGCAGGUUAUAUAGUUUGGGAAGGCCACUUACCCCACAUCCUGGACCCCACAGGGAACACAACAGCUGACAACCAGCAUCCAGAGAAGAGGAAAAGAAAAACAGGAUCUUACCGAGAGAGUGAACAAGUAGGAAUAUUCCAUAUUGUUGUAUUGUUGUAUUAUUAUUAUUCCUAUUUCACUGGU